UACGUAGGGUCCAAGCGUUAUCCGGAUUCACUGGGCGUAAAGGGUGCGUAGGUGGCGUGGUAAGUUUGAUGUGAAAGCUCAGGGCUUAACCCUGAAAUGGCAUUGAAUACUACUGUGCUGGAGGUUUGGAGGGGGGACUGGAAUUCUUGGUGUAGCAGUGAAAUGCGUAGAGAUCCGGAAGAACACCGUGGCGAAGGCGGCUCUCUGGAACGCAACUGACGCUGAGACGCGAAAGCGUGGGGAGCAAACAGG
rnacentral:rRNA from 1 species